AUCAGCAGGGGAAAUACCAUGAUCAACAGGUUUUCCCAGGGUGAGGCCUAUCCAUUGCUCUCUGGGCAGGCUGACCCUGAUGAGUUUCUCAAAUGUGAGGAAACUUGGCUGCAUUAUGUUGUGGUAAUGGGGGAUUGUGUCUGCACUUUCCCCAU
rnacentral:snRNA from 1 species